rnacentral:lncRNA from 1 species
UCUUCUUACAAAGAUAAUUUGUCUGCUUCACUCACACGACUUAAUCCACCAUAUCAAUUGUCAAACGUGUUCGUUACUCGACUUCUCAAAUACUUUUUAAUUUAACUCUUCGAUCUUUUCAAGAAUACUUUAUUCUAUCUCUUUGGAAUUUUCAAGUAUUUUUAUUCCACCUCUUUAGGUUUCUCAUGUAUUAUUUACCCCGUCUUUCAUGCUUUUCAAGUAUUAUUUACUCCGCCACUUCAUGCUUUUCAAGUAUUUUUUUACUUUGCAUCUUCAAACUUUUCGAGUAUUCUUUACUCUGCAUCUCCAGGUUUCUCAAGUAUUUUUUACUCUGCCACUUUAUGAUUUUCAAGUAUUUUUUACUUUGCAUCUUUAGACUUUUUAAGUGUUCUUUACUUUGUCAUCUUUAGACUUUUAGAAUGUUCUUUACUCCGCAUCUCCAAGGUUUCUCAAGUAUUUUCUUUACUCUUCCGCUUUAGAAUUUCCAAAUAUGUUUUACUCUAUCUCAUCAUACUUUACAAGUGUUCUUUACCAUGCCUAUGCAGACCUUUUCAUUAAACAUCUUCAAGUCUUCUCAACACUUCCCAUUACUCCCUUGUUGAGAAUCUAAAUAUUGUCGUUUCACGAGACAUCCCUUUAAAAUAAGAGAAAUGAUAUUUGCACAAUCAUUUUGCUGCAACUUUUUGACAACUUUCUCUCUCAUACUCACAUGAUAUUAUUAUCCUCUCUCUUUCUUUUUCUCUCUCCAUUGUUUUUGAUCAAUCAAAAGAGAGAAAAACAAAGUUGUCAUUAAAUGGAUGUACAAAUAUCAUUGCUCUUAAAAUAAAGGUUGUUGCCACUACAGAACUACGAUACGUACAAGGAUUUGAGUUUCUGUCUGACUUGACAUAAAGUCAUUUUAGGCUUCGAGCCCUCAUUAGAGGAUAUAGCAAUUUCGAUCAUAUAUCAAUUCAAGUUUCUAUUGCUCUUCACAAAGUCAACUGCGUUGAAAUACUUGGAUGGUUUGCAAUUAAACCUAUCUUGUUCAAGACUUUUUCAAAAUAUACAUUUUUUUAGUAUUGAACAUGCAUUUUCUUUCUUUUCUUCUUUUCCUUUUUUGUUGUAACUAGUUCAUAUGAGCAUAUAGUCACAUUUCAGGAGCCAUUUGUAACUAGUUCAUAUGAGCAUAUAGUCACAUUUCAUGAGCCAUUUGAAACUUACAUUUGAAUCUUCAGUUCGACAUAGUCAACUUUAUUACUUGAAAUCAAGUUUCUUAUACAGUACCGAAGAUACAAUGGUUGAGAAAAAAGUUGUGGUAUAAAGAGUUGUUGUGAUUGUACAAGGAGCCGUUGAGAUUACAGUAGACUAUAGAGUGUAAGUAAAUUGUAUCAUGUUACUAUAAGGUUGUUACUAUACUUUUCAAAGUUGUACUUGGACACUGGCCUUGAUGAUUGUGCUUGUAGCUAUUGUUCAUACACUCUCUCUAUUGUUGAUCAAUCACUUUUGACUUUGUGUUGGUACCAAACCAUUUUUUGCUCCGAUGUUGUUGAUCUUGCAUGUUGAAUGUUUUACACAGAACUAUGUUCUUCUAGCUGAGAUCUUUGUAAUUUGCUUCAUGCUGCUAUCAGAUUGUGGGCGAUCAAAUUCCAUCAUUGUAUUUUGAGUUAAAUAUGUUUUUAGUCCUUACAAAAUUACAAACUUUCAAGUUUAGUCUCUAUAAAAAAAUUAUUCACUUCGGUCCAUAUUUACAUUUCAUAGAGACUAUUUUGGAGAACUAAAAAUGUCCAUUUUUUUGUAAAAGGUUUUCAAAAUAAUGACUAUCUUUACAAGCUACAAUAUUAUCGAGAACUAAAUUUACAAUUAUAAUUUUAUAGGGGCUAAACUUAAAAACAUGUGAUUUUGCAGGGAUUAAAAACAUAUUUAACCCUUACACUUUCAACAUGUUAUGUGGAAUUUAAUGUUAGAGCCAAUUUUAUCACGGAACAAAUACAAAUAAAAAAUUUAUGAAUACACUCUUGGAGAAAAAUAAAUGAG